rnacentral:lncRNA from 1 species
GCUAUGUGUCUACCAGAUGGAGGUAUUGGAACAAAAUUAACAUCCAUCUGGUGGCCACAUAGCGCUAUUGCAUCCAUUGGCUUGAUCACUGACACUGUCAGCCAAUCCAAUGACAUCCCCCCUCUCUCUCUCUCUCCCUUUCCCCCUCUCUUUUCUCUCUCUCCCUUUCCCUCUCUCCCUUUUUUCUCUCUCUCUUUUCCUCUCUCGCACUCUUUCCCUUUCUCUCCCCCUCCCCUUGCUCUCUCUUCCUUUCCCUCCUCUCGCACUCUUUUCCUUUCUCUCCCCCUCCCCUUUCUCUUGCUCUCUCUUCCUUUCCCUCCUCUCUCCUUUUCCCUUGCUCUCUCUUCCUUUUCCCUUGCUCUCUCUUCCUUUUCCCUCGCUCUCUCCCUUUCUCUCUCCCUCCCUUUUUUCUCUCCCUCCCUUUUUUCUCUCUUUCCCUCUCUCUCUUUCCCUCUCUCCCUCUCCUCUCUCUGCCUUUCCCUCUCCUCUCUCUGCCUGUCUCUCUCUCGGUCUCCCCUCUCCCUUUUUUCUCUAUCGCCCCGUAUCUCUCGUCUCCCUUUUUUCUCUUUCCCUCUCUCCUCUCCCCCUUCUCUCAUCUCUCCCUUUUUUCUCUCAAUUUUUCUUUCUCGCUCUCCCUCUCGCUCCCUUUUUCUCUCCCUCUCGCUCCCUUUUUCUCUCCCUCUCUCGUCCUUUCCCCCUCUCUCCCUUUCACUCUCUUCUCUCUCCCUCUCCCUUUUUCUCUCUCCCUUUCCCUCUUCUCUCUCUCUCCUUUUCCUCUCUCCCUCCCCCUUUCUCUCUCCCUUUCCCUCCCUUUUUUCUCUCCCCUCACUCUCUUCUCUCUCCCUUUCCCUCUCCCUCCCUUUUUUCUCGUCCUUUCCCGUUCUCUUCUCCUCUCUCCCUUUUCUCUCCUCUCUCCCACUCUCUUCUCCCCCUUUCUCUUCUCCCUUUUUUCUCUCUCGCUCUCUCCUUUCCCCCUCUCUUUGUUCUGUUUUUGGUUUCUCUUUUUUUUCCUCUCCCUCUUCCGCAUUUGUCUCUCCCUUUUUCAAUCUUACUAGGUGAACAUUUUUUUAAAUGGUUUUUAAUGCCUAGAGGGGGGUGCUGGGGUCCAUGGCUGGGUAGUGAGCACCCCCCACCCGGGCCAUUUUGGACGUUUUUCAAAAAAUCUUCCAAAAAACGACAGUCCAACUUCUCUCUCGUUGCACUAUUUUCAGCUUUUGCUCCAGACUGUCCAGCCAUGCACCGUGCAAUUUUUUAAAUGUUUUUAUUCCUUUAUGGGAAUGCUGGAGGUCUUCUCCCUAUUUUCCUCUACCCCAC